GGCCACGUGCAAGGCAAACACCCUACCUGCAGUGCGACAUCUGUCACCCCAUUGAUGGCCAGGGUUAAUUUGGCUGAUCUGGCUGUCUAGGUGAAUAUCUCCUUCCUCCCUCACCGCUCCAUGUGCGUCCCUUCCGAAGCUGCAAGCUCAGUCGAAGAGAACAGCCUUCCUCGAAUAGAGAUAGACCAGUCCUUGGUCAAGGGUAUACAAAUAGCUGCACUCCCCUGCUAGAACCUCCAAACAAGCUCUCAAGGUCUAAUUAAUCAUUAAUCAGUUAAUUAAUUAAUUAAUUAAAGAUGACCAGUGGGAUAGCUUUAUCCUGAAAAUCUCUGCUCU
rnacentral:snRNA from 1 species